rnacentral:lncRNA from 1 species
CCGCGUCGAGGCGGCCGACGGCGCCUCUCCCGCUUUCAACCAAGUUUUUCAUUAUCACCAAACCAAAGCUCACGAAUUCGAUGAAGAGAAACGUAGGGUUCCGACAGGAUCCAAUCCUCUUCACAAUAAAUGACGUCGCGACGUCGUUUUUAGCCGUUAUUUACGAAUGCUUUCUAGCUAGAUAGCUCGAUAUAAAAGGUGAUGUUUCUUUUUUUUUUUCUCUCAUGCUUGGGGAAAAAAAUUAAUUAUUAUAUUUAGGUUGUAUUUUGUAUAUUUUUUAUUUUUAUAUAUAAAUUGUAAUUCCGUCCGUCUAAAUUUAUUUCUACGUGCAAAAGUAUAGUUUCGCCCGUCUAUUUUUAAAAUCCUAGCUCCGUCCCUGCUCAUGCUCGAAUAAUACUAUACAUUAAAUGUAGGAAUUUGAAUUCACGAUGUUUUUUAAAGUUUUAAUCACGAAGCUUAUCGUUCUACUAAUUAGGUCACCAAAAGAAGAUUUUAUUCGUGAGAAGUGAAGUUUUGAAGGCAAGUUUGAGAUUUCGACAGCGUGGCGUAGUUUUGUUAGUGUAUAUAUAUAUUAAUUGGAUUAUAUUUUUUUUGCUUCAAGCAGCAAUGAAGAUGGAUAGUGUGUGUCUGUGUGUGUAUAUAUGUUAUAUAUAUAGACAUUUACUUACAUAUAAUUUGAUGUUAGAAUGAGUAUUUUAGUUAGAGCUUCAGAGAUUGAUUUGGUUUGUAAUAUUUAAAUUGAGCGCGCUUACAAUAUUUUUCGCAUUCAUUUAAGCCCAGUUUGGAUUUUUCUUUGUUUAAAAUAAUAGUUGUUCUGACUUGAUAAAUAUAAAAAAAAAUAUUGGAAG